rnacentral:rRNA from 1 species
UACAGAGGUGGCAAGCGUUGUUCGGAAUUACUGGGCGUAAAGCGCACGUAGGCGGACUCUUAAGUCGGUGGUGAAAUCCUGGAGCUCAACUCCAGAACUGCCUUCGAUACUGGGAGUCUCGAGUUCGGGAGAGGUGAGUGGAACUGCGAGUGUAGAGGUGAAAUUCGUAGAUAUUCGCAAGAACACCAGUGGCGAAGGCGGCUCACUGGCCCGAUACUGACGCUGAGGUGCGAAAGCGUGGGGAGCAAACAGG